GUGGGAACUAUGAUCAAGAGUAUCUAAGGAAAUCCGACCUGGAUGCUCUCAUUAAGCUCUUCAAGGAGCAUGGUAACAUUUUUGGGUAUUCCUUUGGGGCUAGGGCUAUAGGGAAUGAUGAGAAUUCAACUAGAAUUGAUAGGAUGCAUGAAAGUGUGAUAGAGAUAAUCAACCAAUCUAGAACGGCUAGUCUUGCUAGGAAUGAUCAUGCAUUCAAACCAUCUAGUAUCCUUGCUCAUAUUGCUAGUUCACAUGCCAUUAAGCCUUUAGUAGUUGAUUCUGGUGCAUCUCAUCAUAUG
rnacentral:lncRNA from 1 species